GUUGAAAAGUGCUCGAAGCCUUUCAUUCGUUGGGAGAAAGAACGAAUGAAGACAAGGGAAGUCUCGUUCGAAUGCCUGAUAAAUGCUGGCAAUCAAGCCGUCGCCCGGGCUGGCUUUCUCUGUAAUGAGGGUUUGUAUAGGAUGAUCGGGGAGAAGGCCGCCCUUGCCCAGGAAAGUGACUCAACUGUGGAGAAAAUGCUGGCUGCCGAGUCGAAAUUAGCUCGGGUAACAGAAUUGGAGACCCAACUUUGACAGAUUGAAGAGGAUAAAAGAGCCUUCCGUGAGCAAGCCACCAUUCUGUAAGACAAGGCUGGAGACUGGAAGAAAAGGUGGAGCAUGGCCAUCGAUAUUGUUUCUGAGCUGAUGACCCGGGUGUCUACACUGGAAGUUGAUGUGCGUUCCCUGGAGGGGGUUUCUGAGGCUAAGAACGCCGAGCUUGCCGCUGUCCGUAAUGAGAAUGAAAAACUGAAAGAGCAACUGGAUGUGGUCAAGGCUCAGAUUCUUGAGCACCGGGAUGACAACCUGAAACUUUCGGUAUCCAUAACGGCGCUUCGGAGCGAAAACGCUGAACUAACCCUAGCUGCAACAUGGACAAGGCUAAAUUCCAGUCUGUUGUUGACAACCGCAAGCUUGCCCUGAUCUGGAUCUCCUAUCAAAUGAGAAGGUAAACCCUCGAACCUGUAAGGGACGGGCGAAUUGGUGACAUCGGAGCUGAGAUCGAGAAGGCUCGCCUGUCGGAGCAGAGGUCAGUGGAGUCCCCAGAAGAAGGUAACCAGGACGAGGGAAAUGAAGAUGAUGCCUUCGUUGAUGAAGAGGACAAUGAAAAGAAUGUGUCGGCUGCAAGCCAAACUCUCCCCUUGAAAGUGAAUUCCGAUCCCUCUGCAAUGUCUUUGGGUGCUUCUGGGUCUCCUCAGCUUCCAUUUUCAGCCCUAUAACUAUAAGAUUUUAACUCCUGUAGCUGUUCAUUUUUUGAACUUUCUUGUUUAAAAAGCCUUGAUGGACCAUAGAAUCGGAUAUGUUGGCUCGCAGGCUUUGUAAUUAUCUUUUGAUCCCGGGCCCUAUGAACCUGGAGUGACCUUUUAAUUGAUGAUCCUUUGUUCUGCA